rnacentral:rRNA from 1 species
AGGUCAAGAUAGGAAGGGCACACGGUGGAUGCCCUGGCACCCGAACCGAAGAAGGACGUGAUUACCUGCGAAAAGCUCGGGGGAGCUGGUAGUGAGCGUUGAUCCCGAGAUAUCCGAAUGGGGGAACCCACCCUCUGGGGACAGGGGGUACCGCGCGAGCGGGGGGAACGCCGGGAACUGAAACAUCUAAGUACCGGCAGGAGAAGAAAGCGAAAGCGAUUCUCUGAGUAGCGGCGAGCGAAAGGGGAGAAGCCUAAACCGAUGUGCGUGCACAUUGGGGUUGAGGGGCGUCCAAGAUCGAAGUUGAGGCCUAGCCGAGCUGUCUGGGAAGGCAGACCGAAGAGGGUGAAAGUCCCGUAGGCGAAAGGCGGAGACUAGUAGGGCGUACCCGAGUAGUCUGGUUUUCGUGGAGAACUGGGCGAAUCUGCGCGGCCCACCGCGUAAGGCUAAAUAUUCCGGGUGACCGAUAGCGAAGCAGUACCGUGAGGGAAAGGUGAAAAGAACCCCGGGAGGGGAGUGAAAUAGAACCUGAAACCGUGUGCUUACAAGCAAUCGCGGCGCGACGAAGGCGUUGCGGUGUGCCUAUUGAAGCAUGAGCCGGCGACUUACGCUAGCGUGCGAGCUUAAGGCGGGAGCCGGAGGCGUAGCGAAAGCGAGUCCGAAGAGGGCGAGGAGUGCGUUGGCGUAGACUCGAAACCUGGAGAGCUAGUCCUGGCCAGGCUGAAGCGCGGGUGACACUG